UUUCGGUCAUCGAUGGGGAUGCGUUCCAUUAGCUUGUUGGCGGGGUAACGGCCCACCAAGGCAUCGAUGGAUAGGGGUUCUGAGAGGAAGGUCCCCCACAUUGGAACUGAGACACGGUCCAAACUCCUACGGGAGGCAGCAGUGAGGAAUAUUGGUCAAUGGGCGCUAGCCUGAACCAGCCAAGUAGCGUGAAGGAUGACUGCCCUAUGGGUUGUAAACUUCUUUUAUAUGGGAAUAAAGUGCAGUAUGUAUACUGCUUUGCAUGUACCUUAUGAAUAAGGAUCGGCUAACUCCGUGCCAGCAGCCGCGGUAAUACGGAGGAUCCGAGCGUUAUCCGGAUUUAUUGGGUUUAAAGGGAGCGUAGGCGGGUUGUUAAGUCAGUUGUGAAAGUUUGCGGCUCAACCGUAAAAUUGCAGUUGAUACUGGCAUCCUUGAGUACAGUAGAGGUAGGCGGAAUUCGUGGUGUAGCGGUGAAAUGCUUAGAUAUCACGAAGAACUCCGAUUGCGAAGGCAGCCUGCUGGACUGUAACUGACGCUGAUGCUCGAAAGUGUGGGUAUCAAACAGGAUUAGAUACCCUGGUAGUCCACACAGUAAACGAUGAAUACUCGCUGUUUGCGAUAUACAGUAAGCGGC
rnacentral:rRNA from 1 species